rnacentral:lncRNA from 1 species
UUUAUAAUUAUUAAAUUAAUUCAUACUCAUUGUGAAAAAUUCAGAGAAGACAAUAAUAAGAAAAAAAAGUCCAACCAAUAUCCUACUACCCAGAAAUAAGCACCAUUAAUAUAUAUACACCACAUUUCCUUCCAGAUUUUGUUUCUGUUCUCCUCUCUCUCUCUCUCUCUCUCUCUCUCUCUCUCACACACACACACACACACACACACACACACACACACAGGGACUUGGGGAGUUUUUUGUGCAUUUUACUAAAUAAGAUCAUAACAUAUAUGUUUUUAGUAACCUGUUUUUCAUUUAACCUCACAGGCAUCUUUCCCUGUCAUGUUUCUCACUUCAAGAUGAAAUUUCCUCCGUGUCUCCAGAGGUUUGUUUCCCACCAGCUAACAAUCAGCUCCCGCCUACCGCUGUCAGGAGUAACAUACCUGGGCCCUGCUUUGGAGGGAAUUCAACUAGGACAAGGGGUUCUUGCAGCUUAUUGAAUGGGUGUGAACUCAUAGGGGGAGAAAUCAAUAGUGCACCAGGAUUUAGACAACUUAGCAAAAUGUAUGAGACAGUACUUUAGGUGAAGAAUAACCAUAGCAGCAUGGUUAACCCGUUGGUUGGCUCAAAUACAUGUUUUAUCUAAAGUUUUUGGCAGACACUAACUAGCCUGUUUAAUGAGGUUAAGAAAAUCAUUGUGGUAAUAUGGUCUUCAUGCUAGUACACCCAUUCUAUGUCCUGAAAGUUUUAAAAGCAAGCAAAAUUAAAACAGUUGCAUAGUUGCCUAUAUGGAAAUAAUCUGCAUUUUCUACUUACACCUCUAUGUGGUGAUAAAUUUGAUCAACUUUUGAUUCCACCGCAACAGGAGCUCAAUCCUCUGCCUUCAUUAGACAAUAGUCACAAUAAAUUAUUUAAUUAUAGAAGCAAAUGACUAGAAAUAACAAUAAAGAAUUAUAAAAAUUUAUCCAGAGGAUCAAAUCAAUAUUUUGAUUUAUCCAGAGGAUCAGAUCAAUAUUUUGUGUAAAAAUAACUACGUGAGUAUGAAAUAUCACUUUUAUGGGUGAAUUAUUUACCAUCUAGUGUACAAUUGGGGGGUUGUUUUUUUUCUUACAUUGGUUCAAGUUUCCUAUCAAUGAACUAAAUAUAGAAGGUAGGUAAGGGAAACCAUCUUCCUAACCUCACAUCCAACCCCAGUCCCCAGACAAUGUGACUGUAUCUACAGCACUUUCUGCUGUACUGCAAAUGUCAAACAGAAGGUGUAAUGGAUUUAAUAUUAGCGCUGGCCAAGGUGUUGAGGGAGCUGUUAAUAAUGUCACUCCAGUUAUUGAUCUGAAGCCUUUAAAAAUCAGAGAAAAGUGAGAGAUCCCCUAUUGGGGAAAGGCAUACAGUGACUGGUUUUUAUUGCCAAUAUAUUUCUACAUAUAGAGUGGCAACUUUCUGGAAUUAUGUUAUCACCAUUAAUCUCUCUGAGAUUU